UUUAUGAUAGUGUUAUUGAUCUUUUUUCCGAUGUGUUUUUGUCUGAUUAUGGUCGCUGUUUGUGUUACUAGAUGACAAAUGCUAUAGCUAUUGAAGAUGUAAGGAAGGAAGUGAAGAUAUUGAGAGCUUUGACAGGCCACACCAAUCUCAUCCAAUUUUAUGAUGCUUAUGAAGAUCAUGACAAUGUUUAUGUAGUCAUGGAGUAAGUUAUGCAUUGCUUGCCUUUUUGUUCUUGAAUUGUUCUCUUAUGAUCCAACUCCUUUUUUGCUUAUAAUCUGUACAAAUUGGCAUGAUCUUGAGUUUCUAACCAUUGAUUCUGACUUCAUUUCUCAGACUAUGCGAAUGAGGCAAACUUUUAGACAAAAUACUUUCGAGGUAUAUCAAUUUGGGGUUUUUCGGGGUGGCUAGUAUACAGAAGACGAUGCGAAAUUAGUGAUGAUACAAAUACUGAAUGUUGUUUCGUUCUGCCAUCUCCAGGGUGUGGUACAUCGGGAUCUUAAACCUGAGAAUUUCUUGUUUACAUCCAAAGAAGAAGACUCAACAUUGAAGGCCAUAGAUUUUGGAUUAUCAGAUUUUGUGAAACCAGGUUUGUCGGAUUUGUUUUCU